ACAGAGAGUGAGAGAGCGAGAGAGAGGGAGACAGAAGCCAAGAGCGCCGAGAAGGCUAGAGACGACAGCAAGACAGAGCUGUCAAAAUGGGCGCACCGCGCCUAUCUCAAGACCAGGAACCACAGCAGGAGGAUGGACGACACAUUUUCCUAUUGAUCUACCGGCGGAAAGAUAAUCAUCUGUCCACCUGUGUACAAGUAGAAGCGAGGAGCAGAAUCGGGAAGCGGGAACGACAGUAAGGCUUCUCUGCUGCAGGGAGGAUAAGAAAGGAGCAGUGACGAGCGUGUAGGUGUGUUGAUUUUCCGAGAGAGAGGGAGGGAGAGGAUGAUGGAGGAAGGAACGUGAAGGAAAAGGGAAGGAAUAUACGUUGUGUUGCGUCGUGUCGUGUUGUGUUGAAAGUACAAGAAGGGGAGGAGGAUGAAAGGAAAAAGAGGAAAUUCUAAAUAAAGAAAGAAAAGAACGAAGCCAGGAGG